GCUCAAGAACAAUGUCUGUUGUGGUGUGUAGUAGUCUUGUUGAUAAUCCUCUUGUAUACCUGUGUCGGGGCUAAGUGGAGGACUGGAAGAGCCCGGGACAUCGCCGUAAUGGAAGUGUUGGAAUUGGUGUUGGUGGGGGGAUUGAGUUUGUGGUAGGUGUUGGGACUGUUGAUGGUGGUGGGAAUGUUGAGGUUGGUGUUGGUAAUCUUCAUGAUAUUGGGGUUGAGUUUGUGGUAUGUAGUGUUGAUUAAUUGAUGUUGGUGGGGGGAUUGAGUUUGUGGUAGGUGUUGGGACUGUUGAUGGUGGUGGGAAUGUUGAGGUUGGUGUUGGUAAUCUUCAUGAUAUUGGGGUUGAGUUUGUGGUAUGUAGUGUUGAUUUGGUUGAGGGGUGGACAUGUGUUAUGGUUGUUGUUGGUAAUACGGUGGUGGUGGUUGUUGUUGGUAAUACGGUGGUGGUGGUUGUUGUUGGUAAUAUUGUGGUUGUUGUUGUUGUUGGGAAUAUUGUGGUGGUUGUUGUUGUUGGAGAUAUCGUUGUUG
rnacentral:lncRNA from 1 species